rnacentral:rRNA from 1 species
CAUUACCGAGUUUACAACUCCCAAACCCCUGUGAACAUACCUUAAUGUUGCCUCGGCGGAUCAGCCCGCGCCCCGUAAAACGGGACGGCCCGCCAGAGGACCCAAACUCUAAUGUUUCUUAUUGUAACUUCUGAGUAAAACAAACAAAUAAAUCAAAACUUUCAACAACGGAUCUCUUGGUUCUGGCAUCGAUGAAGAACGCAGCAAAAUGCGAUAAGUAAUGUGAAUUGCAGAAUUCAGUGAAUCAUCGAAUCUUUGAACGCACAUUGCGCCCGCUGGUAUUCCGGCGGGCAUGCCUGUUCGAGCGUCAUUUCAACCCUCAAGCCCCCGGGUUUGGUGUUGGGGAUCGGCUCUGCCUUCUGGCGGCGCCGCCCCCGAAAUACAUUGGCGGUCUCACAGCCUCCAUUGCGUAGUAGCUAACACCUCGCAACUGGAACGCGGCGCGGCCAUGCCGUAAAACCCCAACUUCUGAAUGUUGACCUCGGAUCAGGUAGGAAUACCCGCUGAACUUAAGCAUAUCAA